AGGGAGAAGUUCUGACAGGAAGACUUGGGCUCCUCCCUGGGGUGAGGGAGCAGGGAGCCCCUGUGGAUGGAGAAGCCCCUAAAUAAUCCUUUUCCACAGAACUCUCCAGUACCUCUUUGACAACACCUGGCUGGACAGCCUGACCAGAGCCGCGUUUGUGGAGUUCACGGUCUACAACGCCAACGUCAACCUGUUCUGCAUCGUCACUCUGACCCUGGAGACCAGUGCCCUGGGUGGGCAGGCUUGCCUGUGAAUCCAUGUGCAUGCUACCCCUUCCUCUGGGCUAGGGCUCCUGGCCCUACUGGGCCUGGCCACCCCGGGACAGAACUCCAGGGCAAAUGUUUUGGGAAAUUCUGGGGGGUGGGGGGUCUUCAUUCUCCCUGGGCCCACAAAGCCAAGGUUUCAGGGCUGCUCUAGCCUUUUUCCUGGCUGCCUGCACUUCCUUCUGGUCUGUCUCCCAGCUCAUCCUAAGGAACCCGGCUGGGGUCUGAAGGUAGCUCAAAUCCUUCAGCUUCCCACUCUAUCGGGAGUGGGGUGGGGUACUGGCAGUGAAGGGCUGGGGAGGGGGUGACAUGGUAAACUUCACCUAAAACAGUAUUUUACCACUUGGUAGUACCUCAGUGUACACUGCAAAGUUCAUUUCACAUUGUAUUUCAACACGCAGACAUACAAAUACACAUGACCAUAACUGAGACAAAAGCUUCAGAAAUAAUUUCCUUAGCUACAUGCAAUGAGCUCCAUUUUGUGUUCUACUCUUUCUCCCCACUGCCUGCCUUCCACCCUCUAAUCACGAUCUAUUGAAAACAAUAACUUCAGGCCUCUUCAGCUAAUAAUCAAUUUUCCAAAAACUUAACCACCUCUCCUUAAAAAUGAAACUUUUUAAAUAUUAAAUUACAUUUUAACUAAAAGUCAUAUUUGUAGUUUUAAAACAUUUCAAGAUCAUGCAAAGUGGAAAGUAAAAGAUCUUCAACUUACGUUAUCAUUCCCCACUGUCAAGCUUCUUUCAAAUCCCUUCUGGGGGAUUUAUUUGCAUUUCUUGUGAUCACCUACUUCUUUUUGCCAUUAUUUUGGCUGUUGAAGGACCUCUUGUCUCAAAACACAUCUGAUUAACUUAUUUCUACAAAUGAGAAGUGGUAUAGGUUUCUGGUCUGGUUUAUCCAGCAGCCCAAUGAUGUCAGCAAGCACCCAGGUUGUCUGUAUUUCUCCAUUCUGCCAUUCUUCGGAUUGGCUUUGUCUUUGUAGGCCUUAUUAGUCACAUUAGUUUUAAAAAAUUAUUGCUAAAAAUCAUUACAUUACAAAACAAACAAACAAACAGGAAAAGACACAAAUGGAUGAACGAUAAUUCAAAAGAAGGUUGAAUUUUAGGCAUAUUGGUUAACAGCUGAAUUGAUCUCCAGUGAUCUCUUUAGAUGAAAUGGCUUUAAAUGAGCCAGCUUGCAGUAAACUGAUGUUAAGUGGGUGGGAGUCCGUGGCUGGAGACGAUGAGUGCACAACGCUGACACCAAAUGCAGAGGGUAGGAGGCGGGUCUUCCACUGCAGCCCCCUUUGUGCCUGCAGACAUGUCCACUGCUUUCGGCCUCCAGCACAUGUCCCUCCCUGUUCAGCUCCUUGGGUCUGUGCCUCUGAAGGACUUUAAUCUCGUCUUCUGCCAGCGGCCACCGUCAGAAGGGCUUGAGUUUGUUUCAUUGCACUGAUGACUCCCCAUCAGAAGCGGUGGUUCUGAGUGGAUGGGCGGCGGUGGGUGAGCAGAACCUGCUCUGCGUUGCAGGAACCUUCUUUGCGCACGCGCACCUGCAGAGCCUGCGCCUGUACCCCUUCACAGACGGCUGGCACCCCUUUGUCGUAGCGGCAGAGAUUGUCUACUUCCUGUUCCUCCUCUACUACAUGAUCGUGCAGGUGAGGGGCGGACUCGUGGCUCUGUAGGCAAUGGAUGGAGGUGGUCGUGGGCCUGCUCCCUGUCCCUCUUCCUCUUCCCUGGGGGUCGGGGUCGGGGUGGGGGGGAAGAAGGGAGAGGAAAAGGUUCUGUGUAACUUUAUGCCAUGGCAGUCUUUCAAUGUCCCUGCUGGUCCCCAGGGCUGACCCAGCUCAGGCGCCUCUCAGGAACUGAGAGGUAGAUCAUGGUCCUUCCUGGGAGGUCCCUGGGAUUUAGGGAAAGUCCCCUUUGCCACUUUGCCACCAUGUUGCAGAGUGAAGGCGCAGAUGUUGACAAUGACGGCUUGAGGAUGCUGAGAACUCAGCUGAGGCGCCUUAUAAACCCUGCCCUCCUCCAAAUGCAAAUUAGACACCUUAAAGGGGCAUCUCAGCCCUCACCCUGCUCAGCACUCACUUUAAGGAUGUUACUUUGCUUACUACAUAGCAGGCACUGUGCUAAGAACGUUAUGUGGAUUUUUCUCCAUUAAUACAAGGAGAAAGAUUAUCUUGGCUCUCUUUCACAGAGGUGAAGUCCAAGAUUUUAAGUAAUUUAUCCAGGGUCAGAAUUGAAUCCAGAGUCUGACCCCUGGCCUUCACACUUAACCCUAUGCCACAUUGGCCAAAAACUGGAUCCCACAGGGUCUCAAGGCACCGCUAGUUCAAACCCAUCAGCCAAGUUACCGAACAGCAACUUAAAUCUUUGCAUUUCUCUAAGAAGGUCAAAGGAGGACCAUCUCUCACCCUCCUCUGAGCUUCUUCCUCUCCUCUCCAUAGCCCUCACACUCGGCCAGCAGCUGCUUCAGAAGGCCUUUCUCUAAAACCCUUAAAUCUUUCUCAUUAUGCUGCUUGAGCUGUUUAAGAGCUCCCCCUCGCUCCAUCCCUUCGUAACAGGUGAACUUAGCCUCUUUCCUGCCAAACACCAGUCCUUCCUCUUAAGAGUGGGUAAGAGGAAGGAAAUGGAACAGACAACAGAAGAUCUCUUGAGUGGAGGGAAAAAGAAGGUCGAGAGGGAGGUCAAGAACACACACAGGAUAAUUAUUUCCAACCUGUGACACCUCUUGGGAAAUGAGAAUUAAAGUCUCCUGACAAUCCAGAAAACAUCUCCACAAGAACAAAAAACAAAAAACAGAAAACAUUUCCACAAACGUAGGAAAAAAAGAAAACUAGUUUAACGAAAUUAUUUUUCAGUGUGGUAAAUAAAUACAACAUAGAAUUUGCCAUUUUCACCAUCUUUACAUAUACAGUUCAGUGGUGUUCAGCACAUGCACAUCAUUGGGCAACCACCCUCGUCGGCCAUCUCUAGAACUCUUCUCUCGCACAGCUGCAACUGUCCCCUUUCAGCAAUAACUCCCCAUUCCCCCCAGGAAAACAGCUUUUAUUAUUGAGUAAGCAUUAAACCAGAAUAUGUUAUUCACCCGAGGCAAUCUGAAAAAACGUUGCAGAGACAAGAAAUCCGACCCUUGCAUAUCUCCAGGCACAUACCACCCACUACAUAGCCAUUCUUUAACAUUAGCCCUUACCCGGAUUGGCAGCACCCUGUAUCCCUCUAAUCCGCCAUGAAGUCACCUGGUAAUCGCCGGCACCUGAGUUUACUAAUUGCCUUUAUCAAAUGAAAAAAAUAGAUUAUGCCUAUCUUUACAACAGGAGGUACUUCUGCAACGUGUAGCCAGGUGGUUUGGCUCCUUACCCUCCCAGGGAAACUGGGAGUUAGGGGCACUACUUCCUUGAUGAUUACAUUUCAGAGAGGCGGCUUCUUGGUUCUUGAGAAAAAAAUGCCUGCCCUACAAAACUGGCAUGGGGCUUGUUUAGCUUUUCUAAAGAUUUACAUACAUCUCAAAGAAGCAGAGAAAGAACUCACAAUUAUGUUUUCUAAAAUAAAUGCUCUACUGAGGGGAAGGUUUUUUCCUCCCCUCCCUUUGCCAUCAGAGAGAAUUGAAUGCUUUUCUUAUUGCAUGCUGUACUUACCCUUACACACCCCAAAUCCUGAGGUCCUGAUUUCUCACUUUGUUUUUAGGGCUGCACCUGCGGCAUAUGGAGGUUCCCAGGCUAGGAGUCGAAUCGGAGCUGUAGCUGCCAGCCUAGACCACAGCCACAGCAAUGCCAGAUCCAAGUCGCGUCUGUGACCUAUGCCACAGCUCAUGGCAACUCAGGAUCCUCAACCCACUGAGCAAGGCCAGGGAUUGAACCUGCAUCCUCAUGGAUAUUAGUCGGGUUCGUUAACCACUGAGCCACGAUGGGAACUCCUGAUUUCCCACUGAUGAUAGGAGCAGACUGGGUCCUUACACAAGGUUGAGGCACUUUUUGCAUUGGGGCCCAAAGGCUUUGAGACAUCUCCAAGGAUCCAGUAACCCUCUCCCAGAGCGUCAUC
rnacentral:lncRNA from 1 species